rnacentral:rRNA from 1 species
AUUGCCUUAUUAACGGCGAGUGAAGCGGCAACAGCUCAAAUUUGAAAUCUGGUCCCCCCGGGGCCCGAGUUGUAAUUUGCAGAGGGUGCUUCGGCGUCGGCUCCGGUCCAAGUUCCUUGGAACAGGACGUCACAGAGGGUGAGAACCCCGUACGUGGCCGGAAGUCUUCGCCGUGUGAAGCCCCUUCGACGAGUCGAGUUGUUUGGGAAUGCAGCUCUAAAUGGGAGGUAAAUUUCUUCUAAAGCUAAAUACCGGCCAGAGACCGAUAGCGCACAAGUAGAGUGAUCGAAAGAUGAAAAGCACUUUGGAAAGAGAGUUAAAAAGCACGUGAAAUUGUUGAAAGGGAAGCAGUUGCAGCCAGACUUGGCCGCGGGCGUUCAUCCGUGCUUCUGCACGGUGUACUCGACCGCGGUCAGGCCAGCAUCAGUUCGGGCGGCCGGAUAAAGGUCCCGGGAAUGUGGCUCCCCUCGGGGAGUGUUAUAGCCCGGGGCGUAAUACGACCAGCCUGGACUGAGGUCCGCGCUUCGGCUAGGAUGCUGGCAUAAUGGCUGUAACUGGCCCGUCUUGAAACACGGACCAAGGAGUCUAACAUCUAUGCGAGUGUUUGGGUGUCAAACCCAUACGCGUAAUGAAAGUGAACGGAGGUGAGAGCCGCAAGGCGCAUCAUCGACCGAUCCUGAUGUCUUCGGAUGGAUUUGAGUAUGAGCAUAGCUGUUGGGACCCGAAAGAUGGUGAACUAUGCCUGAAUAGGGUGAAGCCAGAGGAAACUCUGGUGGAGGCUCGCAGCGGUUCUGACGUGCAAAUCGAUCGUCAAAUUUGGGUAUAGUGGCGCAAGA